AACAAGGGUGCCAAGUCCUAGGUCUGCAACAUGGUCAAAACCGAGCGUUUCGUUUGUGGAAAAUGAAUACAUCUGAGUUUGCACCUGUCUCGGCCGGGGGAAAAGUAGCGCGCGCGCCAUCGCAAACGGGCGUCUCCCGGCAAAACCCGUUCCCUGCUGCUCGGGGAGGCUCAGACUGCCUGAAAGGCUGCAGCCUUCAAAACCUGUUUCAUGCGGUUUGUCCAUUUUUGGGCUGUUUCAGCUGUCCCAUUCUGUUGGAAGCCUGGUUUUGCACAUCAAAUGGGUUGUGUUUCUCCAGCAAAUUUCAAGGAACGCCAGGGGAUCCUGGAACUGGAUCCCACAUUACAAGCAGAUGCUCCCUUCACACCUGAAUCUCCUCCCCAUGACCCCAGAAAGUGUGGGUCACCCCUCUGCUUUCUGAAUACAAAAACGGGAGGGGGUUGGAGCUCUUUUUAGAGAUGAGAAAAUGACACGUGUUUCUCUUGAUGUCAACAUUGCCGUGGCCAAUGAACUUGCAGUGCAGGGGUAACACUCGGAAUGUCUAACCAGAUGGGCCCUUUAGCACCUGUUGUGGCCAGAGGGCUGUGGCAAUGGAGGAAAGGCUGGGAGAGCCGUCCUAGCUGGCCAGCAGCCUUGCAACGGCCUCCCACUCUGUCCAGGCUGUUGCAAGCACCGAUUCAGAACAUGUACCCAGAUGAUGGAGCUGGAAUUUGCGGGAAGCUAACUUCCUGUCCAUGUGCAAUGUCUCAGGCAGCGAUGAGCCCCCAUCCCUGGGAAGGUGCAAGCAGGAGCUGAUCCUCCAGCAGGGACGUAACAGGAAUGCUGAACUACACGGUGCCCUCUGCCUCUUCCAUGUGGUACAGCUCUCACGACCACGUGCCGGGAGUGAGAAUCCCACUUCAUGGACUCACAGACCCUUCUCCCUUCUGGAGUGCAUUUCCACAGAAAUGCCGUGCACAGACCUGCGGCACCUCCCUGCAUCGUCCCCGUGGUCCUGGGUGGCUACCAUCCACGCCAGGCCUGGCACACGCUGCCUCACUGCGGGGACUGGGCCACGCCUCACUCAGUCCGUGACAUAACUGGCCGCUUCUGAGAAGGCGCUGUACCGAGUCACAAGGGUUAGCAAACUAGUUCAAGGUAAUUUAUGACCCUGGGAUGCUCGGGUUUCUAAAUACAACAGACCACUACAAACUGCAAAAGCUUCAAGCUCUCUCCCCACGGGAGACGGCCCGGCCCAGCCCGGGGCAAUGGUGCUGACGCCAGGUGGGCAGGACGAGCUGGCACACUCGCAGGCCUGGCUGGCUUAACUCACUAUGAGCCCCAGGGAGGCACUCCUGGAGGCCUCGUGAAGACAGCACCCCCCCCACCCCCCGCCGCCAUUCUUCCCUCCCUUGUCUCUGGUAUGCAUGAGAAGGUGAUGAAGGUUUUUCUCCUGCGCUGGGAUGGCACCGAAACCACAGUGCAUUCGGGGUUGCUACCUCCUAGUUGGCUUCUCUUUUUUAAUGCUAAUAAUAUUGAUUUUGGGUACAGUGGAUCUCAGGCAAGGGAAACUCCAGUAAACGAAAGCUGACUAUAGCCAAACGUGGCUGAUGUUUCUUUUUUCCUCAGGGUUGGCAGGCCCUGCCUGCCUUUCCAUCUGCCCAGUGCUGGCCUUGAACACCCGGAGUGGCUUCUCUGCACGCUCUCCUGUGGGCUGCCUUCCUGCCUUGGUGCUGGCGCCCAGAGCUUGAGACCCAUUUCUGUCUGCAAGAGGACUGUGGUCUCUGCCCUUGCUCCGCUGAGCUCUGGCUGCCACCUGCAUCCAGCAUGCGUUCCCAGCACCCCCCGUCCCGGCUCCAGGCCGAGCUCAUCUGGGGCCUGCUACCAGGGUGACGAGGACCCCACGGAAUGCUCAGACCGGGCCCCGGCACAUCACAAAUGCUGCAGAAGUGAGUUGUCAUCCACAUCAUCAGAGGCCAUGACUCUGCAUCACUCAGAGCAAGGGUGGAGCCUUCCCGGCAAGGAUUCGACUCUGUUCCAGGAAGAAGAGAGGCAAUGAGCAAAAAGACCACAGCAGGCAUGUCGUAGAGGAGGAAACGGAGUGCACAGAUGAACACGGGAAAAGCUGCCCGAUGUCACGAGGAUGCAGGGAAGUGCAAGGUAAGGUCCCCGUGAGAGAUUUCACAUCCAUCAGGCUCACAGUGAGGAAGACAUGUGACAUCUGACAGCACCGAGGGUCUGAGAGGAUGGAGAUCAGCUGGCACCCACGGUUGAUGAGUGUGAAACCUGGUCUGGCCACACUGAAAACCGCUUUGGCCUUUUCUUGUUAGGUUGACCAGUCCCAUGCCUUAGCACCCUGCAAAUCCACUCCCAGGAGCCACACAAGGCACACCCAAGAAGAGUUCGUCGCAGCACUGUUAGCAAGAGGAGGGGGAGAGAGGAAAUGACCCAGAUACUCCCUGACAGAGCAAUGCAAAAAGAAAUUGUAGCACAGUCACACAAUUUCUUUCCACACUGGUGACAGCAAACUCCAGCUACACAGCAGCACGGCUCAAGCUCAGAGAGAGGGAAAUGUUGAGUACAAAAAUGCAAAUUUUAGAGAUCUACGUACAGAGAGGAAGUUUUUAGAGCUUGAGAACGAAGAAGCAAUCUAAUGUUUAGGCUUAUUCAGUCGGCCUGUGAGCAAGAGAAUGGCAAACAAACAAACACCAAAUUGCAGAGAGGGGUGACCUGCAGGCAAGGAGGAGAUGGAAGUGACUGGGAAUGUUCUAGUUCUGGAGUUGAGCUGUGGGCCCACGGAUGUUCAUUGUCCCACCAUCCUUCAGAAUGCACGAAACACACGAAGUAUUAAAACAGAACAGAGGCAAAGGGGAAAAACAAGAAGAGAAACAUGGUGUGGGUCCAGACACAUCCAGUAUGAUUUCCUUGUCACACACAUAGUUGACUGUUUUCACGUGGUGUCACGGGGGGUCCCAAGAGUUCCGUCGAGAGGCCAGAGCGGGAAGUGAAAGGACAGGCAAUUGGACGAGGGCAUUCUUCCCUCUGGGCCUCGUUUCUCCAUAUGCAAAAUGAGGGGGUGUACCAGGAGUGCCAAAUGGCUGGCGUGCAUAACCCAGGCCUCCCCUUCCUCACCCGCUGCGGACACUACUCAUGCAUUGCAGCACUGUUUCACAUGGAGCACAGACACGCAGCGUUGGGCUCCGCAGCUGGGCCCUGCAGGCUGCCGGGGAUGCCAGUCUGAGAGGGCACACUAAGUGAUACCUACGUGCUGAUCUGGAGAGACCCAGAUCCCUCCAGCUGUGGCCUGGAAGGUUCUGAAGCCUCACCAGCAGGCACUAGCUAGUCUGAGAGGCAGGGGCCCUAGGGAGGAGCCGACUGGCUUUGGAACUGACCCUAGCCGGACCCUGGCAGCGUGCAGCCUCAGCGUCUACACUGCCCACGCCUGUGGCCUCCGGUCCGCCGCGGGGGGGCCCCUGGCCCCCCCAUCAUCUGACCAGAGCCCGUGCUCCCAUCCGUCGGGUGGGCAGGCUCAUGUCUACGCUCUGCGGGUGAGCUCUGCUGGACCUGAAAACGGCAAGAUGGGCGGAGGGCCAGGCAGGAGCUCAGCUUCACCCUCUAGCCCAGAGAGCCAUGGAAGCGGCCCCGUUGUGCCAGAUUCAACCAGCUCUCCGAGGCAGGAGGAUGGCGUUCCUUUCACCACCGCCUAGGCCUGCCUGGGCCUGCAGGCCUUUGCUCCUCUGCUCCCCUCCCUACCUGCCCCCCUGCCCCCGCCUGUCCCCUCUUCCUCCCCUUAUGGUCCCAGCUCACAAGACUCCUCCUUGGUUGUGCUAUUCCAUCUACCUCCCACCCCCCAUCCCCCCAGUGAGCGCUGACGUCCCUUCCUCUAGACAACCACCACACAGAGGUCAGCUUUCCCGAGGAGAGCUUGUGUGCUGGGUCUGGUCCAGUUUCUGUGGGUGUCUGUCCCCUCCAGUAUGGGGAGCCCAGCAGGGGCCACCUCACACCCGCAUGAAGAUAAUACCAUCAAACAGCCACAAUUCCUUGGAAUCAAUGGGCUUCUCCGAGAACUGUCCACCUACUGCCUCAGCCGCACAGCCAGUGAGGUUGGCAGUCGGGGAAUGGUACCUCCCUCCCUAUUCCAACAGCGAGAAACUCAAGGGCCACAGAGGGGGGUGACUUUUCCAGCAUCACUGCCCACCCUCCAACCUUCUGGGAGGCUGAGAAGCUUUUCUGUCAUGUCCCAUCAGGGCCCUCAAACCCCAGGAAACACCUCACUUCCCCAGAGCAGGGGCCUGAUGAGUGACCACAGCCCCUAAUCAUGGAGCAUCUGGUUUCAUCCUGGUCCCUGUGGAUUCUUUUAACAACAAGAUCACGCGGAGAGACAUCAUACCCAGGGACGUGAUGCUUCGGCGAUUCGUCUCUCUUUCAUUUUGUUCACCUGAUACACGUUUUAAAUGACUACUGGGCUGUGUACACAGGAAGCCUUGAUUCACUAGAAAGAACCGUGGCGGGUUUUCUUAGAAGAAGACAAAGUCAGGAAUUUAAGGCAUCCACACAUGUCCAUUGAGCAGAGUGGAGACAAAGAUGUCUCUCCCGCUGCUGUGUCCGGGAACACAGCUGCCCACACACGCCCACCACACCCUUGGAUCAGAGCCUGCCACUGAUAUCCACGGUGUGAAAGGGCUUGGAACCCACUGUCAUCGUUAUCACCAUCCCUCGACCCCAAGAAGCCAACACCAUGAGCUUGCAAAGGCACUCCAACAGGAACGCUCACUUGUGUUCCCAGGAAUACACACAGACGCCAGAUAUUUACUUCUGGUUCCAACUUCUCCUGGUUUCAUCCUCUUUCAAGUCCUGGAAACUCUGGGCACCACUUCUUGCCCUACAAUCCCUCCGUCAGAUCCCCCCAUCGCCCACUCUCCCAGGAAGCUCCCCCCACCUGGACACCUCCAAAUCCUCCUCAAAGCCGUCUCUGACUCCCCCUCUUCCCGGCCUUCUCGCUGGCCUCUUUACACUAAUUUCCUGCUAGAACGAUCAUAAUGGGUUCAAAUGCUGCCGCUUGCACACCUAUCUCCCCCGUCACGGGGCAGGUUGUGGGAGCAGGGCGCAGGGCUGAUGUACCCCCUUACCUCCAGCCCCUCAGCAUGGGCCCGGGCACAUGGGUGGGGGGUGGAGUAGGGCCUCAAAGAAGCAUGAUCUAAAUCCCUGGGCUCUGUUUUCCUCCAACUUAGAGUGUAGUGAAAGAGCUCUAAUGACAAAGAAGGUAAAUUCUAGGUAUUCUGAACAGAGACCAGGCCAUCCUUUCCUGAGUACUUCACAGCGAAGCCAAGACCUCACUGGUGAGUAACUGUCAACUGCCCAACAGUGGGAGUGAAGAACUUUCCCAGGAGAGAGAGAGUCACAGACAAAUGUUGUAAGGAGGGAGGGAGCAACUUGUGUAAGGACCGAAAGGCCAGUGGUGCCUCCGCAAAGCAAUGGGGCGAUGGGCAAGAGUUCAUGGAUUAUGCGUAUCGGUUAGGUUAGGAUGGAUUACGCUGCGUAACACACAAUUCUCUAAAUCUCAGUGGCCUACAAUAAAGUUUCUUUAUGUCUCAGACUACAUGCACAUGUGGCUCUCCUUCGUCUCUUCUCCCCUCUGGACUCAGGUUGACAGAGCAGUCUGUCUCUAUCUGGAAUAUUGCCAUUGUCGUGGAAAAAGGAAAAGAAAAGUGGUAAAUUACUCACUGGUUCUUAACGCGUGUGCUCACAUCUGUUUUCACUGUUCAGCAGCCCCUCUGCCAUGCCUGAGGACAACAUGGGCCGUGCUGUAUAAUCCUCCCACCGAGCAGGGCACUUCGAUACAGGGCACCGAAUGUGGGGGAGUGGUAAUCCAGUUCCACACCGUGCUUAUGAGUUUGACGUCUUUCCUAGGAUCAGUGAAAUCUGUUGAAUAAACUGUUCAUUUCUAAAAAUCCCUCUGGCUGUAGUGAGAGACACAGAUUGGAAGUGGGCAAGGGUGGGAUUCGGGAGAAAAUUCAGGAGGCUGCCUCAGUUUCCCAGGCAAAAAAAAAAAAGAAAAGUACUUUACACUAGGGUCAUGGCAGUGGAAAUGGAGAGAAGCCAAGAGAUUGAAAAGAUGGAAGGGUCUAGUGAUGUACAAAGAGGAGCAGAGGUGAGUGAAUGUGUGACCCCAGAAUGGCGAAAAGAUACAGCAGGCUUGGCUUCUCAUGUCUUAAACAGUUGCUGGCUCCCAUCUUUGGGGAGGACCAGCUACUCUACUCUCUGCUUGUCCUUGGGCUGUCUAUGUUCUCCUAAGAAAUCUCCCUUCUUGCUUGACAAAAAAGGCUGAGCUCAAUAAAGAUGGGAAGACACGGAUGGGGUGAGCAGCCGAGUGAGCCGACAAAUGAGUGACACAGUGACCAGGGGAAUUAAUUCAUGUCUCCAAGUGUUCAAAGAGUGAAGAGAAACUAGACUCAACCGGAAGAAAAGAAAGUCCUCCCACUGGGCAUGCCUCAAAAGGAUCCCUCACCUCCCUAGUGACACAUCAGGCAUCUUUCUUCUUCCACGGGGCUGUGACCACUUUCGGCUAUAACAGAGAAAGGGGAGUGGGUGAGAGAAGAAGAAGGGAGGGACAGGGAGGGACAGGGAGGGACAGGGAGCUGCAGGUGUGUUUAAAGCUGACCAGCUGCUUCCUGGUCACCACAGGAGCUGACCCUGCUGGCUGGAUGCCAUCCACUCUGUCCCCUGCUCCUCGCUGAACCCCCGUGGAAGUGGCUGGGUCCUCCCACACAGAAAGAAAGCAGGUGAUGAGAGGCCAAGGCAGUGUCCUGAGGUCCCCCAGCUGGCAAGAGAUAGGACAAAGCACUCCCCAGAUGCCGCAGGACAAUGGGGUCUGGCUGGCAGGUGAGUAGG